CAGUAGCCGCGGGAAUACGUAGGUGGCAAGCGUUGUCCGGAUUUAUUGGGCGUAAAGCGAGCGCAGGCGGUCAAUUAAGUCUGAUGUGAAAGCCCCCGGCUCAACCGGGGAGGGUCAUUGGAAACUGGUUGACUUGAGUGCAGAAGAGGAGAGUGGAAUUCCACGUGUAGCGGUGAAAUGCGUAGAGAUGAGGAGGAACACCAGUGGCGAAAGCAGCUUUCUGGGUCGAUACUGACGCUCAUGUGCGAAAGCGUGGGGAGCAAACAGGAUUAGAGACCCCCGUAGUCCCUGUCUCUUAUAC
rnacentral:rRNA from 1 species